rnacentral:snRNA from 1 species
AUGCUUGCUUCAGCAGCACAUAUACUAUAAUUGAAAUGAUACAGAGAAGAUUAGCAUGGCCCCUGAGCAAGGAUGACACACAAAUUCAUGAAGCAUUCCAUAUUUUU